CACGUAGGCACCAAGCGUUGUCCGGAUUUAUUGGGCGUAAAGAGCUCGUAGGCGGUUCAGUAAGUCGGGUGUGAAAACUCUGGGCUCAACCCAGAGACGCCACCCGAUACUGCUGUGACUUGAGUACGGUAGGGGAGUGGGGAAUUCCUGGUGUAGCGGUGAAAUGCGCAGAUAUCAGGAGGAACACCAGUGGCGAAGGCGCCACUCUGGGCCGUAACUGACGCUGAGGAGCGAAAGCGUGGGUAGCAAACGGG
rnacentral:rRNA from 1 species